UACGAAGGGUGCUAGCGUUGUUCGGAAUUACUGGGCGUAAAGCGCGCGCAGGCGGCUAUCCAAGUCAGUGGUGAAAGCCCGGAGCUCAACUCCGGAACUGCCAUUGAAACUGUUUAGCUUGAGGAUGAGAGAGGUGAGUGGAAUUCCCAGUGUAGAGGUGAAAUUCGUAGAUAUUGGGAAGAACACCGGUGGCGAAGGCGGCUCACUGGCUCAUAACUGACGCUCAGGCGCGAUAGCGUGGGGAGCAAACAGG
rnacentral:rRNA from 1 species